rnacentral:lncRNA from 1 species
GUUAAAUCCCUAGAACCCGAAACCCGAAACCCGAAACCCGAAAUCCAAAACCCGAAACCCCAAACCCGAAAUCCAAAACCCGAAACCCCAAACACCGAACCCCUAAACCCGAAACCCCAAACUCCGAACCCCUAAACCCCGAACCCCAAACCCCAAACCCCGAACCCCUAAACCCGAAACCCGAAACCAAAAACCCGAAACCCAAACCCCAAACCCGAAACCCGAAACCCGAAACCCGAAACCCCAAACCCCAAACCCCAUAU